rnacentral:rRNA from 1 species
CCUACGGGAGGCAGCAGUGGGGAAUAUUGCACAAUGGGGGGAACCCUGAUGCAGCGACGCCGCGUGGGUGAGGAAGUACUUCGGUAUGUAAAGCCCUAUCAGCAGGGAAGAAAGUGACGGUACCUAACUACGAAGCCCCGGCUAACUACGUGCCAGCAGCCGCGGUAAUACGUAGGGGGCAAGCGUUAUCCGGAUUUACGGGGUGUAAAGGUAGCGUAGACGGCGUGCCAAGUCUGAUGUGAAGGGCCGGGGCUCAACCCGGGGACUGCAUUGGAUACUGGCAUGCUGGAGUGCCGGAGGGGCAAGCGGAAUUCCUGGGGUAGCGGUGAAAUGCGUAGAUAGUAGGAGGAACACCGGUGGCGAAGGCGGCUUGCUGGACGGUAACUGACGUUGAGGCGCGAAAGCGUGGGGAGCAAACAGGAUUAGAUACCCCGGUAGUC